GCCCGUGAUGACAAAUUGGUUUACAACUGAAAGCAAAUUGUUAUAUUUGAAUAAUUGUUGAUAGUCAUUGAACUAGGACGGUCUGAGGC
rfam:Cephalotus follicularis DNA, scaffold: scaffold17, isolate: St1.